GACCCAGGUGGUCGAGUGGGAGGU
rnacentral:siRNA from 1 species